rnacentral:rRNA from 1 species
GACGAACGCUGGCGGCGUGCUUAACACAUGCAAGUCGAACGGAAAGGCCCCUUCGGGGGUACUCGAGUGGCGAACGGGUGAGUAACACGUGAGUAACCUGCCCUUGACUUCGGGAUAACUUCAGGGAACUGGGGCUAAUACCGGAUAGGAAUCCUUGCUGCAUGGUGGGGGUUGGAAAGCUUCGGCGGUUUUGGAUGGACUCGCGGCUUAUCAGCUUGUUGGUGGGGUAGUGGCUUACCAAGGCUUUGACGGGUAGCCGGCCUGAGAGGGCGACCGGCCACAUUGGGACUGAGAUACGGCCCAGACUCCUACGGGAGGCAGCAGUGGGGAAUAUUGCACAAUGGGCGGGAGCCUGAUGCAGCAACGCCGCGUGCGGGAUGACGGCCUUCGGGUUGUAAACCGCUUUCAGCAGGGGCGAAGCUUGUGGUGACGGUACCUGCAGAAGAAGCACCGGCUAACUACGUG